GAUGAACGCUAGCUGGAGGCUUAAUACAUGCAAGUCGAGCGGGAUUGGUAGCAAUACCAUGAGAGCGGCGCACGGGUGAGUAACGCGUACACGACCUACCUCUGACAGGGGGAUAGCCCUGGGAAACUGGGAUUAAUACCGCAUAUUAUUCUGAUUAAUAAAGGAUUGGAAUGAAAGUUCAGGCGGUCAGAGAUGGGUGUGCGUCUGAUCAGCUAGUUGGUGGGGUAACGGCCUACCAAGGCGAUGAUCAGCAGGGGGCGUGAGAGCGUGGUCCCCCACACGGGUACUGAGACACGGACCCGACUCCUACGGGAGGCAGCAGUAAGGAAUAUUGGACAAUGGCCGCAAGGCUGAUCCAGCCAUCCAGCGUGCAGGAAGAAGGCCCUAUGGGUUGUAAACUGCUUUUAUCAGGGAAGAAACCUCUGGAUUUACUCCGGAGCUGACGGUACCUGAAGAAUAAGCACCGGCUAACUCCGUGCCAGCCGCCGCUGUAAAAC
rnacentral:rRNA from 1 species